CCGAGCAUACGAGAGACGGCAGAUCGGGAAGCGAAGUGUGGAGGAAGAAGGGGAUGGAGAGGAGUUAUUUAUACCCCACCUUUAGUCCCGAGUGGAAUUUCCAACUGGGACUAAAGGGCUUCUAGUCCCGGGUGGUAUUACCUUCCGGGACUAAAAUAGGGGCUUUUAGUCACGGUUGGUAAUACCAACCAGGAUUAAAGGGGGUUUUUAGAGCGGAAGAUGAAAAAGGACCCUUUAGUCCCAGUUGGUACCCC
rnacentral:lncRNA from 1 species